rnacentral:rRNA from 1 species
AACGAACGCUGGCGGCAUGCCUAACACAUGCAAGUCGAACGAGACCUUCGGGUCUAGUGGCGCACGGGUGCGUAACGCGUGGGAACCUGCCCUUAGGUUCGGAAUAACUCCCCGAAAGGGGUGCUAAUACCGGAUAAUGUCUUCGGACCAAAGAUUUAUCGCCUUUGGAUGGGCCCGCGUUGGAUUAGCUAGUUGGUAGGGUAAAAGCCUACCAAGGCGACGAUCCAUAGCUGGUCUGAGAGGAUGAUCAGCCACACUGGGACUGAGACACGGCCCAGACUCCUACGGGAGGCAGCAGUGGGGAAUAUUGGACAAUGGGCGAAAGCCUGAUCCAGCAAUGCCGCAUGAGUGAUGAAGGCCUUAGGGUUGUAAAGCUCUUUUACCCGGGAUGAUAAUGACAGUACCGGGAGAAUAAGCGCCGGCUAACUCCGUG